rnacentral:rRNA from 1 species
UACGAGGGGGGCGAGCGUUGUUCGGAAUUAUUGGGCGUAAAGGGUGCGUAGGCGGUUUGGUAAGUCUGAUGAAAUCUAUGGGCUCAACUCAUAGUCUGCAUCGGAAACUGCCGGGCUUGAGUGUGGGAGAGGUGAGUGGAAUUCCUGGUGUAGCGGUGAAAUGCGUAGAUAUCAGGAGGAACACCUGUGGCGAAAGCGGCUCACUGGACCAUAACUGACGCUGAUGCACGAAAGCCAGGGGAGCAAACGGG